CUGACACAGGUGCUGCAUGGCUGUCGUCAGCUCGUGUCGUGAGAUGUUGGGUUAAGUCCGUAACGAGCGCAACCCUUGUCCUUAGUUACCAGCACGUUAUGUGGGCACUCUAAGGAGACUGCCGGUGACAAACCGGAGGAAGGUGGGGGAUGACGUCAAGUCAUCAUGGCCCUUACGGCCUGGGCUACACACGUGCUACAAUGGUCGGUACAAAGGGUUGCCAAGCCGCGAGGUGGAGCUAAUCCCAUAAAACCGAUCGUAGUCCGGAUCGCAGUCUGCAACUCGACUGCGUGAAGUCGGAAUCGCUAGUAAUCGUGAAUCAGAAUGUCACGGUGAAUACGUUCCCGGGCCUU
rnacentral:rRNA from 1 species